rnacentral:rRNA from 1 species
UUGGUUAUGCUAAUAAGAGCGUAUGGUGGAUGCCUUGGCACUAAGAGCCGAUGAAAGACGUGAUAAGCUGCGAAAAGCUUCGGGGAGGAGCAAAUAUCCAUUGAUCCGGAGAUUUCUGAAUGGGGAAACCUACUUGAGAAGACCUCAAGUAUCCACAGCCCAAUCCAUAAGCUGUGGAAGGGAACCCGGUGAACUGAAACAUCUAAGUAGCCGGAGGAAGAGAAAACAACAUGUGAUUCCGUAAGUAGCGGCGAGCGAACGCGGAAGAGCCCAAACCGGAGUGCGUGCACUCCGGGGUUCGGACUGCAGAAUUGACGAGUGAGCCUAGUAGAAUGGUUUUGGGAAAGCCAGCCAGAGAGGGUGAAAGCCCCGUACACGAAAGGCGAGCGAGCAUGGCAGGAUCCAGAGUACCACGAGACACGUGAAACCUUGUGGGAACGCGCGGGGACCACCCCGUAAGGCUAAAUACUCCUUAGUGACCGAUAGCGCAUAGUACUGUGAAGGAAAGGUGAAAAGGACCCCGGGAGGGGAGUGAAAGAGAACCUGAAACCAUAUGUUUACAAGCUGUGGAACAUCUUUAUAUGAUGAACCGCGUACUUUUUGUAGAACGGUCCGGCGAGUUACGCUGGCUGGCGAGGUUAAGCACUGAAG